rnacentral:rRNA from 1 species
UACGGAGGGUGCAAGCGUUGUUCGGAUUUAUUGGGCGUAAAGCGCGUGUAGGCGGUCUCUUAAGUCUGAUGUGAAAGCCCUGGGCUCAACCCAGGAAGUGCAUUGGAUACUGGGGGACUUGAAUACGGGAGAGGGUAGUGGAAUUCCUAGUGUAGGAGUGAAAUCCGUAGAUAUUAGGAGGAACACCGGUGGCGAAGGCGGCUACCUGGACCGAUAUUGACGCUGAGACGCGAAAGCGUGGGGAGCAAACAGG